GGCCUUUUGGAGUUAGCCCAGGAGAACAACUGAGAGGUCAACUGUUCCAAGCAAUGGAGGAAUGAGAAGUCAAGUGUCUUCUUAGCAUCCAAAAGGCAUCCAUUCUUCUCGCUGGACUGAGACACACCUGUGGAGAUAGUGCAGCUGUCCUCUGAUGUUACCGGGAGGCUGCACUACAGAUGCUGCAACUCUGGUACUUUUUGGGUUUGUGAAAACCACCGCUCUGCCCAAAGCACCCUUUCCUAGAGAGCUCUUCCAAGUUCCAGAUUGCCAAGAGCUGGUAAACAGGCAGAACAGGAAAGACCUGGGAUGGUCAGGCAGAGGGGGAGAACCUAGUUUGGAGGCUGACCUCUCCUCACCUGCUAGCCCCUGAGAUGGGCUGGGCACCUGACUCUCCUGCCCUUCAGCUGGUGAAGCAAAGGCUGUCAGACACAGUAGAUUUCACCGGCAUCCUUUGUCGUUCAGAGGACCUGAGGCCAGAGGAAUCUAAUCCGGUGUCAGCAUACAAACUUAGACUCUACAUCCUCCUUCUGCUUUAGGAUUUGGGACCUGUCUAUCUACCGAGGAAAUAGCGGGAGAGCUGAAUGAUGACGCAUCUUUAACUUUCCUAACAGCAAUGUAGAUGGCAUUUGAUGUCCUUGAAGCUGCCAGACUCUGGAGUGUGUCAUCCUUUUCUCUUUGAACCUGGAGUUGUGAGUAACUGGUGCUGGGAAGGACUGUCAUCUCCCUUACUGGCCACAAACAUCAUUUUUUAAAAUAUACAGACCUCUUGGACCAAUUCUCUACUCUUUUUCUUCUGGUGGUACUGGGAAUUGAACUCAGGACCUUCUGCCAGUGCACCACACUGAAAGUUCUGUGCACUCGUGGGGCAGGAAUCCCGUUCAACUUGUCUACUAGAGCUGUCCUGGGAACCUGUGGCUUCCUCAGGUGCCAGGAGACUCUCCGGAGGCUCAGAACUGUGGGACUCUCCUUGAUAAUUCACAGCUGAGCAAUUCAAAGAUUGUUGGGGGAGUGCUGAGAAUUGAGCCUGGGGCCCAUGUGCCCCCACUAUCAAGCAACACCCAGCCCCGGAUCAAGUUUGAAGGUGGGUAUUGCUAAAGGAAGG